AACCGGCGAACGGGUGCGUAACACGUGAGCAAUCUGCCGAUUUGAGGGGGAUAGCCGGCCCAACGGCCGGGUAAUACCGCAUACGCUGGAGGAGGGGAGUCCCUUUUCCAGGAAACCUCCGGGGCAAAUCGAGGAGCUCGCGGCCUAUCAGCUAGUUGGCGGGGUCAAGGCCCACCAAGGCGACGACGGGUAGCUGGUCUGAGAGGAUGGCCAGCCACAUUGGGACUGAGAAACGGCCCAGACUCCUACGGGAGGCAGCAGUGGGGAAUCUUGCGCAAUGGUCGAAAGACUGACGCAGCGACGCCGCGUGUGGGAGGACGCCUUUCGGGGUGUAAACCACUGUUGCCCGGGACGAACCGCCUCUUUCGAGAGGCCUGACGGUACCGGGUGAGGAAGCACCGGCUAACUCCGUGCCAGCAGCCGCGGUAAUACGGAGGGUGCGAGCGUUGUCCGGAAUCACUGGGCGUAAAGGGCGCGUAGGCGGCCCUGGCAGUCGGUGGUGAAAGCCCGCGGCUCAACUGCGGGUCGGCCACCGAUACUCCAGGGCUCGAGUUUGGUAGAGGCAGAUGGAAUUCCGGGUGUAGCGGUGGAAUGCGUAGAGAUCCGGAAGAACACCGGUGGCGAAGGCGGUCUGCUGGGCCAAGAC
rnacentral:rRNA from 1 species